rnacentral:rRNA from 1 species
UACAGAGGUGGCAAGCGUUGUUCGGAAUUCCUGGGCGUAAAGGGCGCGUAGGCGGCCUUCUAAGUCAGACGUGAAAUCCCCCGGCUUAACCUGGGAACUGCGUCUGAUACUGGAGGGCUUGAGUGCGGGAGAGGGAUGUGGAAUUCCAGGUGUAGCGGUGAAAUGCGUAGAUAUCUGGAGGAACACCGGUGGCGAAGGCGGCAUCCUGGACCGACACUGACGCUGAGGCGCGAAAGCUAGGGUAGCAAACGGG